rnacentral:rRNA from 1 species
UCGAAGCUAUCCCCACACCUGUACUGAGGACACGAACAGAUCUACGGAGGCAGCAGUGAGAUAUUGUUCAUGGCGAGCUGACAGCAUGCCGCGUGUGGGAGAGCCCUAUGGGUGUAAACCACUUUAGCCGGAGUAUAAGGGGCGUGCGCGCCCCGAUGAGAGUACGGCGGAAUAAGCAUCGGCUAACUCCGUGCCAGCAGCCGCGGUAAUACGGAGGAUGCAAGCGUAUCCGGGAUUUAUUGGGUUUAAAGGGUGCGUAGGCGGACCGUUAAGUCAGCGGUGAAAGGUCCCGGCUCAACCGGGGAGCUGCCGUUGAUACUGGCGGACUUGAGUCCAAACGGCGCCGGCGGAAUAUGUAAUGUAGCGGUGAAAUGCAUAGAUAUUACAUAGAACACCGAUCGCGAAGGCAGCUGGCGAGGAUGGCACUGACGCUGAGGCACGAAGGCGUGGGGAUCGAACAGGAUUAGAUACCCUGGUAGUCCACGCAGUAAACGAUGGCGACUUGUUGUCGGCGACAGACAGCCGGUGACAAAGCGAAAGCGAUAAGUCGCCCACCUGGGGAGUACGAUCGCAAGGUUGAAACUCAAAGGAAUUGACGGGGGCCCGCACAAGCGGAGGAGCAUGUGGUUUAAUUCGAUGAUACGCGAGGAACCUUACCUGGACUCAAAUGUUGGGUGGCCGGGGCAGAGAUGCCCUUUCCCUUCGGGGCGCCCAGCAAGGUGCUGCAUGGUUGUCGUCAGCUCGUGCCGUGAGGUGUCAGGUUAAGUCCUAUAACGAGCGCAACCCCUACGUCCAGUUGCCAGCGGGUCAUGCCGGGGACUCUGGACGGACUGCCGGCGCAAGCCGAGAGGAAGGCGGGGAUGACGUCAAAUCAGCACGGCCCUUACGUCCAGGGCGACACACGUGCUACAAUGGCCGGUACAGAGGGCAGCCACGCCGCGAGGCGGAGCGAAUCUCGAAAGCCGGUCUCAGUUCGGAUCGGAGUCUGCAACCCGACUCCGUGAAGUUGGAUUCGCUAGUAAUCGCGCAUCAGCCAUGGCGCGGUGAAUACGUUCCCGGGCCUUGUACACACCGCCCGUCAAGCCAUGAAAGUCCGUGGUACCUGAAGUCCGUGACCGAGAGGAGCGGCCUAGGGUAAAACGGGUAAUUGGGGCUAAGUCGUAACAAGGUAAAUCACUGCGUCGUACCUG